CAAUAGCGUAUACUAAAGUUGUUGCGAUUAAAAAGCUCGUAGUUGGAUCUCAGGCAUGGGCGCACGGUCCGCCUCGCGGCGGUCACUGUGUGAUUUGUUUCCCAUCCUACGCUUCCCGGUUUUUCAGCCCAUGGUGCUCUUGAUUGAGCGUUUUGGGUGGCCGGAACGUUUACUUUGAAGAAAUUAGAGUGUUCAAAGCAGGCACGUCGCCUGAAUAAUGGUGCAUGGAAUAAUGGAAUAGGACCUCGGUUCUAUUUUGCUGGUUUUCGGAACACGAGGUAAUGAUUAAGAGGGACAGACGGGGGCAUCCGUAUUGCGGUGUUAGAGGUGAAAUUCUUGGAUCAUCGCAAGACGAACAACUGCGAAAGCAUUUGCCAAGCAUGUUUUCAUUAGUCAAGAACGAAAGUCAGAGGUU
rnacentral:rRNA from 1 species